rnacentral:rRNA from 1 species
AUAAUGGGUCAGCGACUUAUAUUCUGUAGCAAGGUUAACCGAAUAGGGGAGCCGAAGGGAAACCGAGUCUUAACUGGGCGUUAAGUUGCAGGGUAUAGACCCGAAACCCGGUGAUCUAGCCAUGGGCAGGUUGAAGGUUGGGUAACACUAACUGGAGGACCGAACCGACUAAUGUUGAAAAAUUAGCGGAUGACUUGUGGCUGGGGGUGAAAGGCCAAUCAAACCGGGAGAUAGCUGGUUCUCCCCGAAAGCUAUUUAGGUAGCGCCUCGUGAAUUCAUCUCCGGGGGUAGAGCACUGUUUCGGCAAGGGGGUCAUCCCGACUUACCAACCCGAUGCAAACUGCGAAUACCGGAGAAUGUUAUCACGGGAGACACACGGCGGGUGCUAACGUCCGUCGUGAAGAGGGAAACAACCCAGACCGCCAGCUAAGGUCCCAAAGUCAUGGUUAAGUGGGAAACGAUGUGGGAAGGCCCAGACAGCCAGGAUGUUGGCUUAGAAGCAGCCAUCAUUUAAAGAAAGCGUAAUAGCUCACUGGUCGAGUCGGCCUGCGCGGAAGAUGUAACGGGGCUAAACCAUGCACCGAAGCUGCGGCAGCGACGCUUAUGCGUUGUUGGGUAGGGGAGCGUUCUGUAAGCCUGCGAAGGUGUGCUGUGAGGCAUGCUGGAGGUAUCAGAAGUGCGAAUGCUGACAUAAGUAACGAUAAAGCGGGUGAAAAGCCCGCUCGCCGGAAGACCAAGGGUUCCUGUCCAACGUUAAUCGGGGCAGGGUGAGUCGACCCCUAAGGCGAGGCCGAAAGGCGUAGUCGAUGGGAAACAGGUUAAUAUUCCUGUACUUGGUGUUACUGCGAAGGGGGGACGGAGAAGGCUAUGUUGGCCGGGCGACGGUUGUCCCGGUUUAAGCGUGUAGGCUGGUUUUCCAGGCAAAUCCGGAAAAUCAAGGCUGAGGCGUGAUGACGAGGCACUACGGUGCUGAAGCAACAAAUGCCCUGCUUCCAGGAAAAGCCUCUAAGCAUCAGGUAACAUCAAAUCGUACCCCAAACCGACACAGGUGGUCAGGUAGAGAAUACCAAGGCGCUUGAGAGAACUCGGGUGAAGGAACUAGGCAAAAUGGUGCCGUAACUUCGGGAGAAGGCACGCUGAUAUGUAGGUGAAGUCCCUCGCGGAUGGAGCUGAAAUCAGUCGAAGAUACCAGCUGGCUGCAACUGUUUAUUAAAAACACAGCACUGUGCAAACACGAAAGUGGACGUAUACGGUGUGACGCCUGCCCGGUGCCGGAAGGUUAAUUGAUGGGGUCAGCGCAAGCGAAGCUCUUGAUCGAAGCCCCGGUAAACGGCGGCCGUAACUAUAACGGUCCUAAGGUAGCGAAAUUCCUUGUCGGGUAAGUUCCGACCUGCACGAAUGGCGUAAUGAUGGCCAGGCUGUCUCCACCCGAGACUCAGUGAAAUUGAACUCGCUGUGAAGAUGCAGUGUACCCGCGGCAAGACGGAAAGACCCCGUGAACCUUUACUAUAGCUUGACACUGAACAUUGAGCCUUGAUGUGUAGGAUAGGUGGGAGGCUUUGAAGUGUGGACGCCAGUCUGCAU